GGCACAGUGGCUUAGUGGUUAGUAUGUUUGCCUCGACCCUCCAUGGUUGAGGGUUCGAAUCCUGCCUCUGCCC